UACGUAGGUGGCAAGCGUUGUCCGGAAUUAUUGGGCGUAAAGCGCGCGCAGGUGGUUUCUUAAGUCUGAUGUGAAAGCCCACGGCUCAACCGUGGAGGGUCAUUGGAAACUGGGGAACUUGAGUGCAGGAGAGAAGAGUGGAAUUCCACGUGUAGCGGUGAAAUGCGUAGAGAUGUGGAGGAACACCAGUGGCGAAGGCGACUCUUUGGCCUGUAACUGACACUUGAGGCGCGAAAGCGUGGGGAGCAAACAGGG
rnacentral:rRNA from 1 species